rnacentral:ncRNA from 1 species
CCAAUUCGAUCCUGCUUCGGUUCCCGCCGAUUCCGGCGGGUGAAAAGGGAAUCCGGUGCGCCCCUUUGGGGCCAAUCCGGAGCUGCCCCCGCAACUGUAAGCGGUGAGCGACGGUCAAGGAUGCCACUGGGGCGCAAACCCCGGGAAGGCAGACCCGAGCGAUGAUCCGCCAGCCAGGAGACCUGCCGCGGCGUUCACCCAUUU